rnacentral:rRNA from 1 species
GGGUAACGGGGAAUUAGGGUUCGAUUCCGGAGAGGGAGCCUGAGAAACGGCUACCACAUCCAAGGAAGGCAGCAGGCGCGCAAAUUACCCAAUCCCGACACGGGGAGGUAGUGACAAUAAAUAACAACACAGGGCUCUUUUGGGUCUUGUUAUUGGAAUGAGUACGAUUUAAAUCUCCUAACGAGGAACAAUUGGAGGGCAAGUCUGGUGCCAGCAGCCGCGGUAAUUCCAGCUCCAAUAGCGUAUAUUAAAGUUGUUGCAGUUAAAAAGCUCGUAGUUGAAUUUCAGGCCUGGCUGGACGGUCCGCCCUUCGGGUGAGUACUGUCUGUGGUCGGGUCCUACCUUCUGGCGAAGCGUCAUGGCCUUAACCGGCCGUGGCGGGGAACCAGGACUUUUACUGUGAAAAAAUUAGAGUGUUCAAAGCAGGCAAUCGCUUGGAUACAUUAGCAUGGAAUAAUGGAAUAGGACAAUGGUUCUAUUUGUUGGUUUCUAGGACCGUUGUAAUGAUUAAUAGGGAUAGUUGGGGGCAUUAGUAUUCAAUUGUCAGAGGUGAAAUUCUUGGAUUUAUUGAAGACUAACUACUGCGAAAGCAUUUGCCAAGGAUGUUUUCAUUAAUCAAGAACGAAAGUUAGGGGAUCGAAGACGAUCAGAUACC